AGUGAACGCUGGCGGCAGGCCUAAUACAUGCAAGUCGAACGGCAGCACAGCAGAGCUUGCUAGACUGGUGGCGAGUGGCGCACGGGUGAGUAAUGCGUAGGAAUAUGCCUUGAAGUGGGGGAUAACUUGGGGAAACUCAAGCUAAUACCGCAUAAUCUCUAAGGAGGAAAGCUGGGGACCUUCGGGCCUGGCGCUUUAAGAUUAGCCGACGUCCGAUUAGCUAGUUGGUAGGGUAAAGGCCUACCAAGGCGACGAUCGGUAGCUGGUCUGAGAGGAUGAUCAGCCACACUGGGACUGAGACACGGCCCAGACUCCUACGGGAGGCAGCAGUGGGGAAUAUUGGACAAUGGGGGCAACCCUGAUCCAGCGAUGCCGCGUGUGUGAAGAAGGCCUACGGGUUGUAAAGCACUUUCGGUGGGGAGGAGGAUUCAUAGGUUAAGAGCUAAUGGAUUGGACGUUACCCACAAAAGAAGCACCGGCUAACUCCGUGCCAGCCGCCGCAGUAACAC
rnacentral:rRNA from 1 species